GGCCUGGGCCUCCCUCUGUGGGGCGAUCGAUCAUGGGGCUCCGUGAUUGAUGGCUCCGCAGAGGGAGGCCCUGCCCAC
rnacentral:pre_miRNA from 1 species